rnacentral:rRNA from 1 species
UGGGGAAUUUUGGACAAUGGGCGAAAGCCUGAUCCAGCAAUGCCGCGUGCAGGAUGAGGCCUUCGGGUUGUAAACUGCUUUUGUACGGAACGAAAAAGCUUCUCCUAAUACGAGAGGCCCAUGACGGUACCGUAAGAAUAAGCACCGGCUAACUACGUGCCAGCAGCCGCGGUAAUACGUAGGGUGCGAGCGUUAAUCGGAAUUACCGGGCGUAAAGCGUGCGCAGGCGGUUAUGUAAGACAGAUGUGAAAUCCCCGGGCUCAACCUGGGAACUGCAUUUGUGACUGCAUGGCUAGAGUACGGUAGAGGGGGAUGGAAUUCCGCGUGUAGCAGUGAAAUGCGUAGAUAUGCGGAGGAACACCGAUGGCAAAGGCAAUCCCCUGGACUGUACUGACGCUCAUGCACGAAAGCGUGGGGAGCAAACAGGAUUAGAUACCCUGGUAGUCCACGCCCUAAACGAUGUCAACUGGUUGUUGGGAAUUAGUUUUCUCAGUAACGAAGCUAACGCGUGAAGUUGACCGCCUGGGGAGUACGGCCGCAAGGUUGAAACUCAAAGGAA